rnacentral:rRNA from 1 species
AUUGAACGCUGGCGGCAUGCCUUACACAUGCAAGUCGAACGGUAACGGGCCUUCGGGCGCCGACGAGUGGCGAACGGGUGAGUAAUGCAUCGGAACGUACCUUUCAGUGGGGGAUAACGUAGCGAAAGUUACGCUAAUACCGCAUAUUCUGUGAGCAGGAAAGCAGGGGAUCGCAAGACCUUGCGCUGAUUGAGCGGCCGAUGUCAGAUUAGUUAGUUGGUGAGGUAAAGGCUCACCAAGGCGACGAUCUGUAGCGGGUCUGAGAGGAUGAUCCGCCACACUGGAACUGAGACACGGUCCAGACUCCUACGGGAGGCAGCAGUGGGGAAUUUUGGACAAUGGGGGCAACCCUGAUCCAGCCAUGCCGCGUGAGUGAAGAAGGCCUUCGGGUUGUAAAGCUCUUUCGGCCGGGAAGAAAUCGUAUGGGCUAAUACCCUGUGCGGAUGACGGUACCGGCAUAAGAAGCACCGGCUAACUACGUGCCAGCCGCCGCGGUAAAAC